rnacentral:rRNA from 1 species
AGUCGCCUACGGGGCGCAGCAGUGAGGAAUAUUGGUCAAUGGGCGGAAGCCUGAACCAGCCACGUCGCGUGAGGGAAGAAGGCCCUGCGGGUCGCAGACCUCUUUGGACGGGGAGCAAGGCCGCCGACGUGUCGGCGGAAGGAGAGUACCCGUAGAACAAGCAUCGGCUAACUCCGUGCCAGCAGCCGCGGUAAUACGGAGGAUGCGAGCGUUAUCCGGAUUUAUUGGGUUUAAAGGGUGCGCAGGCGGCACGGCAAGCCGGCGGUCAAAUCGGGGGGCUCAACACCGCCCAGCCGGCGGCACUG